rnacentral:rRNA from 1 species
CCUACGGGUGGUAGCAGUGAGGAAUAUUGGUCAAUGGACGAGACUCUGAACCAGCCAAGUAGCGUGAAGGCUGACUGCCCUAUGGGUUGUAAACUUCUUUUAUAUGGGAAUAAAAUGUUCCACGUGUGGGAUUUUGUAUGUACCAUAUGAAUAAGGAUCGGCUAACUCCGUGCCAGCAGCCGCGGUAAUACGGAGGAUCCGAGCGUUAUCCGGAUUUAUUGGGUUUAAAGGGAGCGUAGGUGGAUGGUUAAGUCAGUUGUGAAAGUUUGCGGCUCAACCGUAAAAUUGCAGUUGCAAAUGGCAGGCUUGAGUACAGUAGAGGUAGGCGGAAUUCGGGGUGUAGCGGUGAAAUGCUUAGAUAUCACGAAGAACUCCGAUUGCGAAGGCAGUUCACUGGACUGCAACUGACACUGAGGCUCGAAAGUGUGGGUAUCAAACAGGAUUAGAUACCCCAGUAGUC